UAGGGAAUCUUCGGCAAUGGACGGAAGUCUGACCGAGCAACGCCGCGUGAGUGAAGAAGGUUUUCGGAUCGUAAAGCUCUGUUGUAAGAGAAGAACGAGUGUGAGAGUGGAAAGUUCACACUGUGACGGUAUCUUACCAGAAAGGGACGGCUAACUACGUGCCAGCAGCCGCGGUAAUACGUAGGUCCCGAGCGUUGUCCGGAUUUAUUGGGCGUAAAGCGAGCGCAGGCGGUUAGAUAAGUCUGAAGUUAAAGGCUGUGGCUUAACCAUAGUACGCUUUGGAAACUGUUUAACUUGAGUGCAAGAGGGGAGAGUGGAAUUCCAUGUGUAGCGGUGAAACGCGUAGAUAUAUGGAGGAACACCGGUGGCGAAAGCGGCUCUCUGGCUUGUAACUGACGCUGAGGCUCGAAAGCGUGGGGAGCAAACAGGAUUAGAUACCCUGGUAGUCCACGCCGUACGAUGAGUGCUAGGUGUUAGACCCUUUCCGGGGUUUAGUGCCGCAGCUAACGCAUUAAGCACUCCGCCUGGGGAGUACGACCGCAAGGUUG
rnacentral:rRNA from 1 species